rnacentral:rRNA from 1 species
AGGACGAACGCUGGCGGCGUGCUUAACACAUGCAAGUCGAGCGGAAAGGCCCUUCGGGGUACUCGAGCGGCGAACGGGUGAGUAACACGUGAGCAACCUGCCCCUGGCUCUGGGAUAGCCUCCGGAAACGGGGAUUAAUACCGGACAUGACCUGGGACUGCAUGGUUCUGGGUGGAAAGUUUUUCGGCCAGGGUGGGGCUCGCGGCCUAUCAGCUUGUUGGGGGGGUGACGGCCCACCAAGGCGACGACGGGUAGCCGGCCUGAGAGGGCGACCGGCCACACUGGGACUGAGACACGGCCCAGACUCCUACGGGAGGCAGCAGUGGGGAAUAUUGCGCAAUGGGCGGAAGCCUGACGCAGCGACGCCGCGUGCGGGAUGAAGGCCUUCGGGUUGUAACCGCUUUCACCGCAGACGAAGCGAGAGUGACGGUAUGCGGGGAAGAAGCGCCGGCUAACUACGCGCCAGCAGCCGC